GGUUAGAUUCUAUUAGGUUCUGUGUAUUGUCACAAAAUUCAUAUUGCCGCAUAAUUUUUAUUACUUGCUAUCAUUUAAAGAACAUCUUGGGAAAAAUUUAACGUAAUCGUAAAAUGCUUUCUGGUGUUAGCCAUCUGCUCCAGGAUUACCCAAUCCAAUAGUAAUCGUAAUAAACUUGACCGUUGAGAUCAUUGUUGGUUUUUUUACACAAAGAAAAAUUGCAGAUGCUCCUGUAUAGCAGACGAUGUGAACCAGAACAUGGUCGCCAUGGGAGAUCCAACGGUGCUUUAAUUAUGCAAAAAAGGUUAAUAAAUAGGACUAACCCGCCAGGGCUGCAUAGCGCCGAUGCGACCGUAUCAUCUUGUGUCCAGAAAAUGCCAAAAUUUUCACCAUAUCAUACCUAUGGUGAAGUCAGAGUUCUGUGGAGUGAAAGGUGAUCGUGAGAUUGCCAUGAUCCUGCCUCAGGCCUCGGAGAAAUAUGGCCCAAUUGCUUUUUACAACCUCAUUGUUGUACCUGAAGAUAAGGAGCAUCCCUUCAAUAAUCCUUAUCAGUACAAUAUCUGACUGAUGAUUUAUGUCUACGGUGUGAUUCAACUGUCAUUAUUGUGAACAUCAGCAUACUUGGUGCUGCAGUAAGAGACAGACACUCCCCAAGAGGAAGAGAUCUCGUAAUUGUGGGUUUACGGUGUUUUAACACAAUAUUCAAGUGGCAUCACUUUAUCCUCCUGCAUCUGUUAAUUAAGGUAAGUCUUUUACACACCUGG